rnacentral:sRNA from 1 species
UUUCCUCGUGUUACCCAGUGGCUGUUAACAGCAGGUUUUCUGCCCAAGUUAUCCAGGUCCCUGGAUGGCCGGUUGCAGGUGUCCCAUCGGAAGGGGCUCCCUCAUGUCAUCUACUGCCGCCUGUGGCGAUGGCCGGACCUGCACAGCCACCACGAGCUGCGGGCCAUGGAGCUGUGUGAGUUCGCCUUCAAUAUGAAGAAGGACGAGGUCUGCGUGAAUCCCUACCACUACCAGAGAGUAGAGACACCAGUUCUACCUCCUGUGUUGGUGCCACGCCACACAGAGAUCCCGGCCGAGUUCCCCCCACUGGACGACUACAGCCAUUCCAUCCCCGAAAACACUAACUUCCCCGCAGGCAUCGAGCCCCAGAGCAAUAUUCCAGAGACCCCACCCCCUGGCUACCUGAGUGAAGAUGGAGAAACCAGUGACCACCAGAUGAACCACAGCAUGGACGCAGGUUCUCCAAACCUAUCCCCGAAUCCGAUGUCCCCAGCACAUAAUAACUUGGGUGAGUAUCUCCUCGUGCACACAACUGGAACCCCCUCUAGCUGCAGCCCUGGCGAGUCGCCAGUGUGGGGA